rnacentral:rRNA from 1 species
GUGGAUUAGAUACCCUGGUAGUCCACACUGUAAACGAUGAAUGCUAGGUGUAGGGGGUAUCGACCCCUUCUGUGCCGCAGUAAACACAAUAAGCAUUCCGCCUGGGGAGUACGGCCGCAAGGUUGAAACUCAAAGGAAUUGACGGGGGCCCGCACAAGCAGCGGAGCAUGUGGUUUAAUUCGACGCAACGCGAAGAACCUUACCAGGUCUUGACAUCCAGGUAAAGCCGUAGAGAUACGGUGUGUGCUUGCACAAUCUGAGACAGGUGGUGCACGGCUGUCGUCAGCU